rnacentral:rRNA from 1 species
AACGAACGCUGGCGGCAUGCCUAACACAUGCAAGUCGAACGAGGGCUUCGGCCCUAGUGGCGCACGGGUGAGUAACGCGUGGGAACCUGCCCUGUGGUACGGAAUAACUCCGGGAAACUGGAGCUAAUACCGUAUGCGUCCUGCGGGACAAAGAUUUAUCGCCAUGGGAUGGGCCCGCGUAGGAUUAGCUUGUUGGUGGGGUAACGGCCUACCAAGGCAACGAUCCUUAGCUGGUCUGAGAGGAUGAUCAGCCACACUGGGACUGAGACACGGCCCAGACUCCUACGGGAGGCAGCAGUGGGGAAUAUUGGACAAUGGGCGCAAGCCUGAUCCAGCAAUGCCGCGUGAGUGAUGAAGGCCUCCGGGUUGUAAAGCUCUUUCGCACGCGACGAUGAUGACGGUAGCGUGAGAAGAAGCCCCGGCUAACUUCGUGCCAGCCGCCGCCGUAAAAC